UUCGGAACUUUUCUAAAGGGAAGUUUAAAUGCAUUACAAAGUUCUUUAAAUUAAUUAAUUCUACUAUUACUAUUCAUAUGAAAAAUGUAAAAACAAGCAUUAUCAAUUUUAUCACAACUAUUUUCAAAUAAUUUCACACCGUCACUAACAACCAAAUUUAAUAUAUGUGCGGCACAUCUAACAUGAAAAAUAUAUUUACUAAUAGG
rnacentral:misc_RNA from 1 species